CCUACGGGGGGCAGCCGUGGGGUAUCUUGCACACUUUGUGAAGCCCUGAUGCAGCAACGCCGCGUGAGUGAUGACGGCCUUCGGGUUGUAAAGCUCUGUCUUCAGGGACGAUAAUGACGGUACCUGAGGAGGAAGCCACGGCUAACUACGUGCCAGCAGCCGCGGUAAUACGUAGGUGGCGAGCGUUGUCCGGAUUUACUGUGCGUAAAGGGAGCGUAGGCGGACUUUUAAGUGAGAUGUGAAAUACUCGGGCUCAACUUGAGUGCUGCAUUUCAAACUGGAAGUCUAGAGUGCAGGAGAGGAGA
rnacentral:rRNA from 1 species